rnacentral:tRNA from 1 species
GCCUGGGUGGCUCAGUCGGUUAAGUGUCUGACUUUGGCUCAGGUCAUGAUCUCACGGUUUGUGGGUUUGAGCCCCAUGUCAGGCU